GUUGAACCACUUGUUCCCAUAUGAUCAACAAAAUUAAGCAAUGUCAAACCUGGUCACUACUUAGAUGGGUGACCACUUGGAAAUAUCAGGUGCUGUAUG